CCCACCUGCUUGCAGGUGCUGCUAUAAAGCUCGAGCCGCAGAGCCGCUGCCAGUUCCUGAUUCCUGGAUUGUCGAGAGCCCUGCGGGCUAAAGGGAGGUGCAGCCCCAUCGAGCAAGGCAGAGCCCGAGCCCGAGCCCGAGCCUGGUGCUGGGACACCCGGGGCCAAGCCCCCACCCCACCACCUGCCAUGAAGCCCCGAAGCCUGGGCACAGCUGCCCUGCGGCUGGGUCUAGGGCUGCUGCUGCUGCUGGCCACAGGUACAGCACAGGGCACCACCACUGCCACUGGUGGCACCAACACGACCACCCC
rnacentral:lncRNA from 1 species